UUUCUAUUUAUCUCUUUUUUAUUUUUUUGUUUUUUCGAGAUACUAUUCGUUCGAUUCGCGAAACGUGAAAAAUGGCGGCAGAAAGGAGCACAAGCAGCACAUUUUCGAUGUUAGUAAAACGUAUACGUAGUAGGAUACAUAGCUGGCAAAAUGCGCUCGUACAAACAUCCCUGGGCUGGACGAGGAUCGGGUCAAUGGGCAUAAAAUGAGCGCUUAUUGCCAACAAAAGCUUCGCACGAUCACUGUUGGAAAUUGACUUGUCCGCGUUUCAUACUGAGUCCACUGGAGAGAUUUCGAGAGGAACGGUAUCGAAAAGGAUCCGUAUUACCUUACUACCGAGGAUGGUGCUUCCGUUUCGAAACGGGACGAGACCAUCGCCUUCGUUGCAACAUCACCAACAGCAUCACCAACACCAUUACCAAGUUCAUCACCAACACCGUCAUCAGCAUCACCAACACCAUCAUUGGCAGGCAACACCCUACUUUUCAUCCCUCCUUUCUACUGUCUGCCGAGGUGCUAAGCCUCUAAAUAGCUGGCUUCGUUCUCUCGAUUCUCUUCUUUCUCCCUUACUUCUUCUACGGAUGGAUUUGAUCUCAGUCCUGAUCUCGUUCGCGGACUGAGAGAAAUAAUUUAACGAACGCGUUUAACGUAGGUGUGUAUUCGAUUAAAAAAAAAAAAAAAAAAAAAAAAAAAAAAAAAAAGAAAAAAAAACAAAAAAGAAAAAAAGGAAAAUAAACACCAAAAAAAAGAAAAAAAAGAAAAAUUAAAGAUUAAAGGAAAAUUUCCAAAAGUUCUUCAUAAUCAUCGUUGAAAACUAUUUUAUUUGUCAAAUUUGAUAUAACCUUUAAAACGUCUUCAUCGGACGUCUUUUGUUGGGAACACAAACAAAUUUUUGUUUCCUUUUUUUCUUUUUUCUUUUUCUUUUUCUUUUCUUUUUUCCUUCCUCGAAAGACGAAUUGUUGAUAGUUCACGUUGGAAGUUACUUUUUAUUCGUUGCGCAAUAUGGGAAGCAUAAUAAAAAAAAGAGGAGAAAAGAAAAAACCCAUAAAAAAUAGAAAAGGAAGGAGAAGAAGAAGAAGGAGGAAGAGAAGGAGGAGAAAAGAAAGAGAGCAAAAAAAGAAAAAAAGGAAGGGAAGGAAAGAGACAGAAAAGACAGAGAAAAGGGAGAAAAAAAAAGAGAAGAGACAUACAAAGAAUCAUUGUCCAUGUUCGAGUGCCGCACAGAGCCAUCGUUUUAACCACGGAUGGGUCUUCGGAUCUGGGAGAGUGAAAACGAAAAAGAGAGAGAGAGAGAGAGAGAGAGAGAGAAAGAGAGAGAGAAAGAAAAAGAAAGAGAUAGAAAACGCGUGGUAGGUAUUCAGGGCAAAGUGGAAUCAUAUAGCACGGCCCGUUUGUAUCGGAAAACAAUUGGAAUAUUUGCACCUGCAGGCUGACGCGUGCGAAUAGUUGUUACCCUCUCUCUCUCUCUCUCUCUCUCUCUCUUUCUUUCUCUCUCUCUAUAUAUAUCUAUCUCUCUCUAUAUAUCUCUCUCUAUAUCUCUCUAUCUCUCUAUCUUCGAUUAUCACACUCCGUACCAUUCCGUAACGACGUGCAAACCUAACAUCCCCAGGCUUACUUGGGCUAAUUAGGGGUCAAGCCUAAUGACCCUGAGCAAUGCUAGCAGCCAUAAUCUUCGCCUUAACUGAUAAUCGACCAGCAACAUUCCGACAAGCCACGCUAGCACGGAGUUUACGAGUGACGGACGAGUGUCUUCCUCUCCUUUGUCGAGAGAAAGGGAGAGAGAGAGAAGGAGAAUCAUGUCUAAGGAGGAGACGAUUUGCAAACACAGCUGCGCAACCGCAGCUGCCUCUUCUUCUCCACCUCCUCCUUUGUCUAAAGCAGCUCACGCGACGACGUGAGGUCUUAUAUCGAUCUCUUGUUUUACCGAUCUAUUUGAUCUUUCAUCGAUCCCCUUUGAACAAUAAUAAUCCGAGAUUAACUAUUUGAUCUUUUCUGUUCUUUCUUUUCUUUCUGUUUUUUUUCUCUUCUUGUUCUUUUAGUUUUGUCAAUGCUUAAAUCGACCGUGAAGGGUCUUAGAAUUACUGUAAUUAAUUUUUUUUUUAACAAUAUUGUAUAUUUAUAUGUAUAGAUAUUAUUAAAAAAUUUUGCAAGUAUUUAUUUAGCAAAAGAAUCGAUUUAUUUAUUAAUUUUUUAACUCGAUGUCCGAUAUUUCUUUUUUUUCUUUUUUAUUUAUCACGUUUAAAGUACGUUAAAUAAAUGUUUUCCUUUGUACUUGAUAAAAUAAUGAUUUAAGACGAUAAUAGUUAUCAUGGACUUUAUACAUUGUAAUCUUCAAUAAUCCAAUAAUACGUUGACAAUCUUUAAUUAAUGAAUGGCCUGUAUGUCGGAGAUAUCGUAUGUUCGUUCUAUUCCCUUUCAUGAUAUCAUCGGGUAUAUUGUACAUAUGUAAAUCUGUAUACGCAUUGGUCAUUAAAUUGGUAGUCCAUGAGAAAGUUACGAAGGUCUCGAAUAGCGAUAGGUCUCGUUCGCGAACUUUCUCAACCAUUUGCGAAUAGCAUCGACUACGAAUCUAAUUAUAAAAUUUGAAUUGAGCUUGGACUUGGACUAGUAUGGUUCGUCCCAUUCGACUUUGACAACUUUUGCCAUGAAUUAAAUUUGGCUUUAUCUCGUCGAGUGACGUUUCAAUGAUUGACGUUUGAAUAAAUUGUUGUUUUACUUCGAAAAGGAAAAAGAAAAAGAAAAAGAAAAAGAA